rnacentral:rRNA from 1 species
GUGAGGAAUAUUGGACAAUGGGCGCAAGCCUGAUCCAGCCAUGCCGCGUGCAGGAAGACGCAUCUAUGGUGUGUAAACUGCUUUUGUACGGGAAGAAACACUCCCUCGUGAGGGAGCUUGACGGUACCGUAAGAAUAAGGAUCGGCUAACUCCGUGCCAGCAGCCGCGGUAAUACGGAGGAUCCAAGCGUUAUCCGGAAUCAUUGGGUUUAAAGGGUCCGUAGGCGGUUUAAUAAGUCAGUGGUGAAAGCCCAUCGCUCAACGAUGGAACGGCCAUUGAUACUGUUAGACUUGAAUUACAAGGAAGUAACUAGAAUAUGUAGUGUAGCGGUGAAAUGCUUAGAUAUUACAUGGAAUACCAAAUGCGAAGGCAGGUUACUACUUGUGGAUUGACGCUGAUGGACGAAAGCGUGGGGAGCGAACAGGAUUAGAAACCCCGGUAGUCC